GACGAACGCUGGCGGCGUGCUUAACACAUGCAUGUCGAACGAAGUGGCGAACGGGUGAGUAAUACGUGGGUUACCUGCCCUCCUUUUUGGGAUAAGCCUUGGAAACUGGUUCUAAUACCGAAUAAAGGAGGAUGGGCUCGCGGCCUAUUAGCUUGUUGGUGGGGUGAUGACCUACCAAGGCGGUGACGGGUAGCCGGACUGUGAGGGUGAACGGCAAGAGUGGGACUGAGAUGCGGCCCAGACUACUGCGCGAGGAAGCAGUGGGGGAGAUUGAGCAAUGGGAGGAAGACUGAUGCAGCGACGCCGCGUGGGGGAUGAAGGCGUUCGGGUUGUAAACCUCUUACGCUAUCGAACGGGUAGGUUGAGAAGAAGCGCCGGCUAACUACGUGCCAGCAGCCGCGGUAAUUC
rnacentral:rRNA from 1 species